CAGCCGCCACGGGAAUACGUAGGGUGCAAGCGUUAAUCGGAAUUACUGGGCGUAAAGCGCGCGUAGGCGGUUACUCAAGUCAGAGGUGAAAGCCCGGGGCUCAACCCCGGAACUGCCUUUGAAACUAGGUGACUAGAAUCUUGGAGAGGUCAGUGGAAUUCCGAGUGUAGAGGUGAAAUUCGUAGAUAUUCGGAAGAACACCAGUGGCGAAGGCGACUGACUGGACAAGUAUUGACGCUGAGGUGCGAAAGCGUGGGGAGCAAACAGGAUUAGAUACCCCCGUAGUCCCUGUCUCUUAUAC
rnacentral:rRNA from 1 species